GCUAACGCAUUAAGCACUCCGCCUGGGGACUACGAUCGCAAGAUUAAAACUCAAAGGAAUUGACGGGGGCUCGCACAAGUGGUGGAGCAUGCGGUUUAAUUCGAUGCUACGCGAAAAACCUUACCAACCCUUGACAUGGUAGUCGCGGAUCACAGAGAUGAGAUCCUUCAGUUAGGCUAGACUACACACAGGUGUUGCAUGGCUGUCGUCAGCUCGUGUCGUGAGAUGUUGGGUUAAGUCCCGCAACGAGCGAAACCCUCAUCCUUAUUUGCCAGCGGUUCGGCCGGGGACUAUAAGGAAACUGCCGGUGAUAAACCGGAGGAAGGUGGGGACGAUGUCAAGUCAUCAUGGCCCUUAUGGGUUGGGCUACACGCGUGCUACAAUGGUAUCUACAGAGGGACGCAAUACGGCAACGUGGAGCAAAUCCUCAAAAGAUAUCUCAGUUCGGAUUGGUCUCUGCAACUCGAGACCAUGAAGUCGGAAUCACUAGUAAUCGCGGAUCAGCAUGCCGCGGUGAAUACGUUCUCGGGCCUUGUACACACUGCCCGUCACGCCAUGGGAGUUAGUUUUACCUGAAGGUGGCAAGCUAACGUAAGAGGCAACCAACCACGGUAGAAUUAGCGACUGGGGUGAAGUCGUAACAAGGUACC
rnacentral:rRNA from 1 species